rnacentral:precursor_RNA from 1 species
UCAACAAAUCACCCUCCCUUGGAGGAGCAAAGAUGGCCGUCCAUGCCCACCUACGGUGUGGUUGGCUGAAAAGCACACGAGGUUAGUUGCCAUCAUCGCGACGAGCGGUGCCCCUACGGGUCGGCAUUGGUUGGUCUUUUGUGUAUGUCCGCGCGUGGAGCUUUAUCCUGGCGCAAGCGGCUUGCAUCUUUGUGCGUCCGCCGGCCACCC